GCAGUCGUGGGCGAGUGGUUAAGGCGAUAGACUAGAAUGGGGCCUCCCCGCACAGGUUCGAAUCCUGUCGACUGCG
rnacentral:tRNA from 1 species